rnacentral:misc_RNA from 1 species
GGAGAGUGAAAAAUGUUGAUAUAUAUAUAUAUGAAAAGAGAAACCGUAAGAGGUAAUUUACCUUUCCAUCCUCAUAAAACGCGGACAAAACACAAGCACAUAGUGUAAAUGAGUAAAACUAAUCUUGAGGUACUUGAGAUUGACUUAAAAAUACUAGAAAUCUAAUCAAAUCAAAUUUGAGUACUAAGCGGUUCAAGCUUAAUUAAAUUUGCUAAGUCCAAUUUCAAACUUCGAAUUUUAGAAUCGAAUCAAGUUUGAGCUAUUCUACUUAGCUCAUUUACGCCAGUAGCCCUAGUUGUCCAUAUUUCAUGCCUCACCUACACAAUGAGAAGAGAUCAAAUUCAAGAUAAAGGCACCUUUAAUUCCAAGAGGAAAAUACCAAACAAAAAGGUUUUAUAACUUUCACAUUAACUCAGGAAAGGUAAAUGUGAUUACACGCACACUUGCGUGCAUAUACACGUAGGAGUUCAGUAGUCUUACCAGUAAGCAUCGGAACUUGUCCGUCUUCUCCAUCUGACCUGUAUCAGAAUUUCCAUUAGAAAAGCUUUCAGUUAAUAUUUUUGGAUCUUCGGAAAUUUUUCCCAUGCCACCAAAAGCUUAUCAAACAGCAAUAUCAAUUAUCAAGUAUAUAGUUGCUACCAAAACAUACCCAACUCUAAGACAACUUCACAUAAUGACAAAAGAAAAAGCAGAACUUCCAGAAAUUGUAGGUCAUAAAAUGAGGGAGAUCCUCCUAGUCUUCUUAGUAGAUGUUCUGGUAAUAACAUCACAAAUCUCUCUUCUUCGUUUGUUGUUGGUGUACGUGGUGGCAGUGGUGACGGCGUUCUUGCUCUUCUUGUUAUUGAUGUUGAUAUCCUUGUUUUCAUCACCAUUGUUAUUGUUCCCAUUCAUGCCCAGGGACUUACUUCCCAUAACUUUUAAAGCAUCUUUAACGAAAACCCUGAGCCUCCAAAGUGUCAAUUCACUCUGAGCAUCCAUGUCAAGUUCCACCUCUUCAGCUGUUGCUUGGAAGCUUGGAUUAUCAGCAGCAACUAUAUCCAGUGCCCUAGUCAGAUCUUCAGGAGAUAAUUGAUUGAGAGCUGUCACCAAUUUCUUUUUCUCUUCAACAGACAUUUUUCUGCAAUUCUGAACUACCAUUUUUCUGAGUUUGUCCAGUUGUGUAUCAACUUCACAAAGCUCGUUGCUUAAAUCCCUAGCCAUGUUAGCAUGUAAAACCUCCUGAGCUAGUUUAGUGCCGGCCUCCACCACUACUUUGUCCUUUUCUUGUCUUCUUUCCUCCUCAACAACUUUAGGCAAAAGUUGCAGCCAUUUUUCUUCAAACUUCUCCAACAAAGUUCUGGCCAUUACAUGAACAUCAUCUCUUUUAUCAUUGUAUUUCAUUGCAUUCUUAAAAACCAGCCUAACAUCAGCAUAUAUUUCCCGGACAUUCUUGUACCCAGUGCCAUCCUUAGCCUCCAUCUUAUUUUUUAUUGUACCGAAGUCCAUUGGCUUUUCAAUAACCUCAUAAUAGUCGUGCAAACCAAGACCCACAACAUCUACUGGCUGCAUGAAAGGCCAUGCCCACUUAUGCUGCGUGAUCUGAAACAAGUAUCCCCCUCAACCAAGAAGUCAGCUUCCUCAUAAGGCAACCUACGCUCACUUAGAGAGGAAGCGAGGUCCACAAUCUUAUAAGCUCAGGAACCCAAAUUGUAAUUCUGGUCCAGCCCUCCAACAAGACUACUGAUGAAAUAUUCCUGCAAACUGAUGCAUAAGUUGCGUUCUCUUUCCACCAGCAACUUCCCUCUGAGGUACAUGUUGCUCUUGCUCCUCAAUGUUGGCUAAAUAUUUUUCCCUGAUUUUAUCGUUCAUAAUUGAGCUACAUUUAUCAGUGUUGUGUUGUUUGUUAUCUGCAGUCAUGGAGAAUUGUUCAACUACAUUUACCCCUUGCUCAAGCUCAUUAACUUUUGAGAACAAUUCAUCAAUGCAACGGCUAAAACCUUCCAAUUCUGAGACAUUUGCUUCAGUGUUGCUAGGUCCCACAUUUCCCAUGUCCAGAUUGAAUCUGAUUAUGGGUUCCAUCUGAUAGUGGAAACAGGGAUGUGAAAUCUUAGAGGACAACGGAGGAGUUAUGAUUAUAAGUAUAAACAAACCAACCAUUUGAGAUUGCACAGAAUAUUUUGCAGAAAAAGAAUAUCAUACUCAAUUCUAGAACCCUUUUAGCCUAAAAAUUAAUAUUAAUGCUUACCAAGUAAUAUCACCAUUAAUAACAAAAUGAUGCAAAGAAACGGCAAAAAAGAGAUAAUCUAUAUCUCAAUAGAGUAACAAAGAAACAGAAAAAGAGAGGGAACAAAUCAAGAAGAAGAAAAGGGCACCAAUUGACUUCGCUGUUAAGCAAGAUUUCAUCAAAUUGAAAAAUCUAAGUAUCUGAGGAGCAGACGCUUUGCCAGCCAGCGAAGAAGCGUAGAACGGUAGGAAGUAGCCAAGACGGAGAGAGCCCCUAAAACUGAAACACGGUCGUCAACGGUGGCGGCGAGCGGUCGUUGACAGAUUUGGGCCUUUUAUAGGUUU